rnacentral:rRNA from 1 species
UGCGUAGGCGGGUUAAUAAGUCAGUGGUGAAAACCUUCAGCUUAACUGGAGACUUGCCAUUGAUACUGUUAGUCUUGAGUACGGUCAAGGUAGGCGGAAUGUGUAAUGUAGCGGUGAAAUGCUUAGAUAUUACACAGAACACCGAUUGCGAAGGCAGCUUACUGGGCCAUUACUGACGCUGAGGCACGAAAGCGUGGGGAGCGAACAGGAUUAGAUACCCUGGUAGUCC